AUUUAUAUAGUUUAAAAAAUAUUACAUUUUCACUGUAAAGUCAGACACCAAGUCUUAUAAAUA
rnacentral:tRNA from 1 species